ensembl:snoRNA
GUUGAGGUCUAUCCCAGUGGGGCAUUUUCUGUAGACCUACAUUGUUGGAAAUGCCUCAUAGAGUAAUUACGAGGUUUCCUUUACUCACAGAACUAUGUGUUACAUCUGUGGGAAAGAAGUACAACACAGAG